rnacentral:piRNA from 1 species
UGUCACAAUGUGUGUCUAGGCAGCUU